ensembl:piRNA 21ur-9979 ncRNA
UUUUUUAAUUGAUCAACAAAA